CAGCAGCCGCGGUAAUACGUAGGUGGCAAGCGUUAUCCGGAUUUAUUGGGCGUAAAGCGAGCGCAGGCGGUCUUUUAAGUCUAAUGUGAAAGCCUUCGGCUCAACCGAAGAAGUGCAUUGGAAACUGGGAGACUUGAGUGCAGAAGAGGACAGUGGAACUCCAUGUGUAGCGGUGAAAUGCGUAGAUAUAUGGAAGAACACCAGUGGCGAAGGCGGCUGUCUGGUCUGCAACUGACGCUGAGGCUCGAAAGCAUGGGUAGCGAACAGGAUUAGAUACCCUGGUAGUCCAUGCCGUAAACGAUGAUUACUAAGUGUUGGAGGGUUUCCGCCCUUCAGUGCUGCAGCUAACGCAUUAAGUAAUCCGCCUGGGGAGUACGACCGCAAGGUUGAAACUCAAAAGAAUUGACGGGGGCCCGCACAAGCGGUGGAGCAUGUGGUUUAAUUCGAAGCUACGCGAAGAACCUUACCAGGUCUUGACAUCUUCUGACAGUCUAAGAGAUUAGAGGUUCCCUUCGGGGACAGAAUGACAGGUGGUGCAUGGUUGUCGUCAGCUCGUGUCGUGAGAUGUUGGGUUAAGUCCCGCAACGAGCGGCACCCUUAUUACUAGUUGCCAGCAUUAAGUUGGGCACUCUAGUGAGACUGCCGGUGACAAACCGGAGGAAGGUGGGGACGACGUCAAAUCAUCAUGCCCCUUAUGACCUGGGGCUACACACGUGCUACAAUGGAUGGUACAACGAGUCGCGAAACCGCGAGGUUAAGCUAAUCUCUUAAAACCAUUCUCAGUUCGGACUGUAGGCUGCAACUCGCCUACACGAAGUCGGAAUCGCUAGUAAUCGCGGAUCAGCAUGCCGCGGUGAAUACGUUCCCGGGCCUUGUACACACCGCCCGUCACACCAUGAGAGUUUGUAACACCCAAAGCCGGUGGGGUAACCUUUUAGGAGCUAGCCGUCUAAGGUGGGACAGAUGAUUAGGGUGAAGUCGUAACAAGGU
rnacentral:rRNA from 1 species